GUGGGGAAUCUUGCGCAAUGGGCGAAAGCCUGACGCAGCCAUGCCGCGUGAAUGAUGAAGGUCUUAGGAUUGUAAAAUUCUUUCACCGGGGACGAUAAUGACGGUACCCGGAGAAGAAGCCCCGGCUAACUUCGUGCCAGCAGCCGCGGUAAUACGAAGGGGGCUAGCGUUGCUCGGAAUUACUGGGCGUAAAGGGCGCGUAGGCGGACAGUUUAGUCAGAGGUGAAAGCCCAGGGCUCAACCUUGGAAUUGCCUUUGAUACUGGCUGUCUUGAGUUUGGGAGAGGUGAGUGGAACUCCGAGUGUAGAGGUGAAAUUCGUAGAUAUUCGGAAGAACACCAGUGGCGAAGGCGACUCACUGGCCCAAUACUGACGCUGAGGCGCGAAAGCGUGGGGAGCAAACAGGAUUAGAAACCCCGGUAGUCC
rnacentral:rRNA from 1 species